rnacentral:rRNA from 1 species
UAGGGAAUCUUCCGCAAUGGACGCAAGUCUGACGGAGCAACGCCGCGUGAGUGAAGAAGGAUUUCGGUUCGUAAAACUCUUUUGUUAGAGAAGAACAGCGCAUAGAGUAACUGUUAUGCGUGUGACGGUAUCUAACCAGAAAGCCACGGCUAACUACGUGCCAGCAGCCGCGGUAACACGUAGGUGGCAAGCGUUGUCCGGAUUUAUUGGGCGUAAAGCGAGCGCAGGCGGUCAAUUAAGUCUGAUGUGAAAGCCCCCGGCUCAACCGGGGAGGGUCAUUGGAAACUGGUUGACUGGAGUGCAGAAGAGGAGAGUGGAAUUCCAGGUGUAGCGGUGAAAGGCGUAGAUAUAUGGAGGAACACCAGUGGCGAAGGCGACUCUCUGGUCUGUAACUGACGCUGAGGCUCGAAAGCGUGGGUAGCAAACAGG